AGAGUUUGAUCCUGGCUCAGGAUGAACGCUAGCGACAGGCCUAACACAUGCAAGUCGAGGGGCAGCGGGGAGGUAGCAAUACCUUUGCCGGCGACCGGCGCACGGGUGAGUAACACGUAUGCAAUCCACCUGUAACAGGGGGAUAACCCGGAGAAAUCCGGACUAAUACCCCAUAAUAUGGGCUCUCCGCAUGGAGGGUCCAUUAAAGAGAGCAAUUUUGGUUACAGACGAGCAUGCGCUCCAUUAGCCAGUUGGCGGGGUAACGGCCCACCAAAGCGACGAUGGAUAGGGGUUCUGAGAGGAAGGUCCCCCACAUUGGAACUGAGACACGGUCCAAACUCCUACGGGAGGCAGCAGUGAGGAAUAUUGGUCAAUGGUCGGCAGACUGAACCAGCCAAGUCGCGUGAGGGAAGACGGCCCUACGGGUUGUAAACCUCUUUUGUCGGAGAGUAAAGUACGCUACGUGUAGCGUAUUGCAAGUAUCCGAAGAAAAAGCAUCGGCUAACUCCGUGCCAGCAGCCGCGGUAAUACGGAGGAUGCAAGCGUUAUCCGGAUUUAUUGGGUUUAAAGGGUGCGUAGGCGGCACGCCAAGUCAGCGGUGAAAUUUCCGGGCUCAACCCGGACUGUGCCGUUGAAACUGGCGAGCUAGAGUGCACAAGAGGCAGGCGGAAUGCGUGGUGUAGCGGUGAAAUGCAUAGAUAUCACGCAGAACCCCGAUUGCGAAGGCAGCCUGCUAGGGUGCGACAGACGCUGAGGCACGAAAGCGUGGGUAUCGAACAGGAUUAGAUACCCUGGUAGUCCACGCAGUAAACGAUGAAUACUAACUGUUUGCGAUACAAUGUAAGCGGUACAGCGAAAGCGUUAAGUAUUCCACCUGGGGAGUACGCCGGCAACGGUGAAACUCAAAGGAAUUGACGGGGGCCCGCACAAGCGGAGGAACAUGUGGUUUAAUUCGAUGAUACGCGAGGAACCUUA
rnacentral:rRNA from 1 species